rnacentral:rRNA from 1 species
UACGAAGGGGGCUAGCGUUGUUCGGAUUUACUGGGCGUAAAGCGCACGUAGGCGGAUCUUUAAGUCAGAGGUGAAUCCCAAGGCUCAACCUUGGAACUGCCUUUGAUACUGGAGAUCUUGAGUCCGGGAGAGGUGAGUGGAACUGCGAGUGUAGAGGUGAAAUUCGUAGAUAUUCGCAAGAACACCAGUGGCGAAGGCGGCUCACUGGCCCGGAACUGACGCUGAGGUGCGAAAGCGUGGGGAGCAAACAGG